CUCGUGUUCCCAAGUAAACGGAUAAAACCACUGGGAAAAACUGCAGGGAAUAAUCCUGUUAUUUGGUUUCCUGCCUCUUUGUAAAGACAAUUACAUGGCAAAUGGGGGGAGGGAACUGAUCAUAGUUUGGAAGAAAGAAUAGAAUGGGAAGAAAA